rnacentral:miRNA from 1 species
UAAGAUAAAGCCGUGAAUUUG